rnacentral:rRNA from 1 species
CUGGCGGCAUGCUUAACACAUGCAAGUCGCACGAUCGGGGGUAACCGUCGGUAGUGGCGGACGGGUGAGUAACGCGUAGGUAUCUGUCCAUGGGUGGGGGAGUAACAGUGGGAAACUGCUGCUAAUACCGCAUGAUGACUGAGGUCCAAAGGCGCAAGUCGCCUGUGGAGGAGCCUGCGUACGAUUAGGUAGUUGGUGGGGUAAAGGCUCACCAAGCCAACGAUCUGUAGCUGGUCUGAGAGGACGACCAGCCACACUGGGACUGAGACACGGCCCAGACUCCUACGGGAGGCAGCAGUGGGGAAUUUUGGACAAUGGGCGCAAGCCUGAUCCAGCGAUGCCGCGUGCAGGAAGAAGGCCUUCGGGUUGUAAACUGCUUUUUGUACGGAACGAAAAGGCUCUGGUUAAUACCUGGGGCACAUGACGGUACCGUAAGAAUAAGCACCGGCUAACUACGUG